CCUACGGGAGGCAGCAGUGGGGAAUUUUCGGCAAUGGGCGAAAGCCUGACCGAGCAACGCCGCGUGGGUGAUGAAGGACUGUGGUCUGUAAAGCCCUUUUAUCAGGGACGAAUUUUGACGGUACCUGAUGAAUAAGGAUCGGCUAAUUCCGUGCCAGCAGCCGCGGUAAUACGGGGGAUCCGAGCGUUAUUCGGAAUUAUUGGGCGUAAAGCGUACGUAGGUGGUUUGCCAAGUCUGGGGUUAAAGCCCGCAGCUUAACUGCGGAUCGGCCCUGGAAACUGGCAGACUCGAGUGCGGAAGGGGUAAGGGGAAUUCCACAUGUAGCGGUGAAAUGCGUAGAUAUGUGGAGGAACACCUGUGGCGAAAGCGCCUUACUGGUCCGCAACUGACGCUGAGGUACGAAAGCCAGGGGAGCAAAUGGGAUUAGAUACCCCAGUAGUCCUGGCCGUAAACGAUGGACACUAGGUGUGAUGCGUAUCGACCGCGUCGUGCGUACGCUACGACGUAGUAGUCCGCCGUCGGGUAGGUACGCGACGCAAGUAGUGUAAACUUAAAUUAAGAAUUAGUACGGCGUGAGACGUGCCGAACGGACGACGACGAGGGAGGUAGG
rnacentral:rRNA from 1 species